GAAAAUUAAAAUUGAGGCUGCUUGGUUGAAACUUGAAAGCAUUGAGAGGUAAAUCGCAUUUUGAAUUCCAAAUAUAUAUAUUUUCGCAAAUAUAUAGCCUGGACAUACAGAACAUUAAAAAAAAGGCCAAAAGAUGUUAUGUGCCUACAAUUCCUAACGACAAACAUGGCUGAAGUUUUCUUUUAAGAAGUGUUUGUCAGUGAGAUUGAAUGUUGAUUAAUAAAAAGGAAAAUUUUCACCUUUAUUAAUUGAAUGUUAAUUAUUAUUAUUAUUUUUUUCAAAUAGAAAUAGACGCAUAUACUCAGGUCAGCGACGGGUUAAAUGUCUACGGAUAUUGUAGCAUUUAGAAAUGAAUUAGGGAGAUGCACGUGAAAUGGGCAGCAAUGCCAAUGCGUGCCGGAGUAAAGCGUAUUAAUUAUUGAAUAACAAAGUAAGAGGGUAGGCAA
rnacentral:misc_RNA from 1 species